AUUGAACGCUGGCGGCAGGCCUAACACAUGCAAGUCGAGCGGAUGAAGGGAGCUUGCUCCUGGAUUCAGCGGCGGACGGGUGAGUAAUGCCUAGGAAUCUGCCUGGUAGUGGGGGAUAACGUCCGGAAACGGGCGCUAAUACCGCAUACGUCCUGAGGGAGAAAGUGGGGGAUCUUCGGACCUCACGCUAUCAGAUGAGCCUAGGUCGGAUUAGCUAGUUGGUGGGGUAAAAGCCUACCAAGGCGACGAUCCGUAACUGGUCUGAGAGGAUGAUCAGUCACCCUGGAACUUAGACACGGUCCAGACUCCUACGGGACGCAGCAGUGGGGAAUAUUGGACAAUGGGCGAAAGCCUGAUCCAGCCAUGCCGCGUGUGUGAAGAAGGUCUUCGGAUUGUAAAGCACUUUAAGUUGGGAGGAAGGGCAGUAAGUUAAUACCUUGCUGUUUUGACGUUACCAACAGAAUAAGCACCGGCUAACUUCGUG
rnacentral:rRNA from 1 species